rnacentral:rRNA from 1 species
CAACUUUCAACAAUGGAUCUCUUGGUUCUGGCAUCGAUGAAGAACGCAGCGAAAUGCGAUAAGUAGUGUGAAUUGCAGAAUUCAGUGAAUCAUCGAAUCUUUGAACGCACAUUGCGCCCCUUGGUAUUCCAUGGGGCAUGCCUGUUCGAGCGUCAUUA